rnacentral:rRNA from 1 species
UCGGACCGCGACCUCAG